rnacentral:rRNA from 1 species
UACAUGAGUGGUAAGCGUUGUUUAUAAUUGUUAGGUGUAAAAAAUCUUAUGAAGUAAACUUUUUAAUAAAUUUAAAUAUUUUAUUAAGUUUUAAAGUUAUUUAAUUGAAUACGCACGUAUAUUAGUUUUAGAGGUAAAAUUCUUUUAGACCGUAAUAUAUUUUUAAACGCGAAAGUUGUGCGUAUUAAUUGAAUUUAUUUUAUAGAUGAAAGUAUAGGUAACAACAAGGAUUAGAGACCCUUUUAGGCUAUACUGUAAAUUAUGGUAAGUUGUAUAAAGCAUAGCUAACGUAAAACUUACCUACCGGGGGGCUAAAGUCGCAAGACUCAAACUUAAAAAAAUUAACGGGACUUUCUACACGGUGGAACAUGUGAUUUAAUUCGGUAAUCCUCGAAAAACCUCACUAACAUAUUUUUUUUAUAAAAAAUUAUUAAAUUAAUUUUUUUUUUUAAAAAUAGGUAUUGCAUGGCCGUCGUCAGCUCGUGUUUUGAAAUGUAGCGUUUAGUCGUAUAAACGAGCGUAAUCCAAAUUUUUAUAUUAAAAAUGAUGGUUGAAGUCAAGUCUGUAUGGUCUAAUUAUGUUAGGCUACACAUGUGUUACAUAAGUUAAAACAAUUUAAUAAAAAAUAGUAAUAUUUUUUUUUUUAAAAAUAACCUAGUUCGGAUUAAAAAUUGAAACUCAUUUUUAUGAAGAUGAAAUCGUCAGUAAUCGUAUUUUAGAAUGAUACGGUGAAGUUAAAUAUAAGUUUGCACACACUGCCCAUCACGCUC